UUUAUCAAAAUUUUUAUAAAUAUAAUCUGCUCAAUGAAAUUUAAAUAGCCGCAAAUAUUCUGUGCUAAGGUAGCAUAAUCAUUUGUUUUUUAAUUAAAAACUAGAAUGAAAGAUUUAACGUUUUAAUUUUUUUAUUAUUAAUAAAUUUUUAAAUUAUAUUAAAUAUAAAAAUAUAUUUAUUUUUAAAAUAGACGACAAGACCCUAUUAAACUUUACUAAAGUUUAGCUGGGGCAGCUAAUUAAUUAUAAUUUUAAUUUAAUUUUUUAAAUAAAUUUCCAAUUUAAUUGAUUAUUUAAACAAGUUACUAUAGGGAUAACAGCGUAAUAUUAUUUUAAAGUUCAUAUUAAAAAUAAUGUUUACGACCUCGAUGUUGAAUUAUUAGUUCUAUUUGACGCAAUAGUCAAAAAAGUAGGUCUGUUCGACCUUUAAUAUAUUACA
rnacentral:rRNA from 1 species